AACAGGAUUAGAUACCCUGGUAGUCCACGCCGUAAACGAUGUCGACUUGGAGGUUGUUCCCUUGAGGAGUGGCUUCCGGAGCUAACGCGUUAAGUCGACCGCCUGGGGAGUACGGCCGCAAGGUUAAAACUCAAAUGAAUUGACGGGGGCCCGCACAAGCGGUGGAGCAUGUGGUUUAAUUCGAUGCAACGCGAAGAACCUUACCUACUCUUGACAUCCACGGAAUUUGGCAGAGAUGCCUUAGUGCCUUCGGGAACCGUGAGACAGGUGCUGCAUGGCUGUCGUCAGCUCGUGUUGUGAGAUGUUGGGUUAAGUCCCGCAGCGAGCGCAACCCUUAUCCUUUGUUGCCAGCGAUUCGGUCGGGAACUCAAAGGAGACUGCCGGUGAUAAACCGGAGGAAGGUGGGGAUGACGUCAAGUCAUCAUGGCCCUUACGAGUAGGGCUACACACGUGCUACAAUGGCGCAUACAAAGAGAAGCGACCUCGCGAGAGCAAGCGGACCUCACAAAGUGCGUCGUAGUCCGGAUCGGAGUCUGCAACUCGACUCCGUGAAGUCGGAAUCGCUAGUAAUCGUAGAUCAGAAUGCCACGGUGAAUACGUUCCCGGGCCUUGUACACACCGCCCGUCACACCAUGGGAGUGGGUUGCAAAAGAAGUAGGUAGCUUAACCUUCGGGAGGGCGCUUACCACUUUGUGAUUCAUGACUGGGGUGAAGUCGUAACAAGGUAACC
rnacentral:rRNA from 1 species